CGCGCAGGUGGUUGAUUAAGUCUGAUGUGAAAGCCCACGGCUUAACCGUGGAGGGUCAUUGGAAACUGGUCGACUUGAGUGCAGAAGAGGGAAGUGGAAUUCCAUGUGUAGCGGUGAAAUGCGUAGAGAUAUGGAGGAACACCAGUGGCGAAGGCGGCUUCCUGGUCUGUAACUGACACUGAGGCGCGAAAAGCGGUGGGGAGCAAACA
rnacentral:rRNA from 1 species